UACGGAGGGUGCAAGCGUUGUUCGGAAUUAUUGGGCGUAAAGGGCAGGUAGGUGGUCUUAAAAGUCUACUGUGAAAUCCCCGAGCUUAACUUGGGAAGUGCGGUAGAUACUCUAAGACUAGAGUGCUGGAGGGGUUCGUGGAAUUCCCGGUGUAGUGGUGGAAUGCGUAGAUAUCGGGAGGAACACCAGUGGCGAAGGCGGUUACCUGGAGCUUUGCUGACGCUGAUGCGCGAAAGCGUGGGGAGCGAUCCGG
rnacentral:rRNA from 1 species